CGUGCGGCUGCCUAAGCGUUCCCGGCCCUGUCUGGUGCAUUCCCCCUGCUGCUGCCCGGUCGGCCGAGAAAGUUCCGGGCGACAGGUGGCCCGAGGCCCUCGAGCUGCGCGGACAGAGCGGCCCCGGAGUCGCGAGCGUGACGGGCUUGCUUGGAGGGCACUUGGUGGCCGGUAGCACCAUAAAGGCCAUAAUUUGGUGUGUGGGUGUGGGGGUGUGUGUGUUAACGGCAUUGGUUUGAUUCACACUUCUGAUGAAAGAAGCCUGUUUAAAAAAGAAAAGAAAAAAGAAGCCUGUUUAAAGGGUGCAGGGUGUUACGAUUGUUAACGUGCAGUGGGCAGUUCACCUGCUACGCUAUCCAACAGGCGCCCUGCUCAGGCCCGACCUCGCACUGCCGCGCGGGCCGGUCCCCCCCGGCCCGGGUAACUGGGACGUCCUGGGAAAAUAAAUUAAUCACGUACGGAGUGAGAGAACAGGAAACCUGCCGAGAAAAAGAUCGAUAAGCAGACAAUUACACCAAGCCAACUUCAGUGCAAUCGUUAAAGCUUACACAUGGGUGCACGCUUGGGAGCCGUGAGCUACCAUGUUAAAAGGCCAACUUCCUAAGGAAAAAUGAUGGAAAGAGAUCCCGAGAUCCUAUGAAAUGGAAGAGGGAGGACAACCCAGCUAUCCCAACAUCCCAGCUGAGGCCAGCCACACACGUGACUGUCUGCAAAGCCCGUCGGGCCUGGGUCCAGCUCAGGUUGCAGAAUUGUUGAUGGCUCUUACUUAAAGAUGCAGCUGGAAGAUGGAGUCUCGCUCUGUUGCCCAGGCUGGAGUGCAAUGGCGUGAACUCCACCUCCUGGGUUCACGCAAUUCUCCUGCCUCAGCCUCUUGACUAGCUGGGACUACAGGCACCCGCCACCAUGCCGGGCUAAUUUUUUGUAUUUUUAGUAGAGACGGGGUUACACUCUGUUAGCCAGAAUGGUCUCGAUCUCCUGACCUCGUGAUGUGCCCGCCUCGGCCUCCCAAAGUGCUGGGAUUACAGGCGUGAGCCACCGCGCCCGGUCCAGCCAUCUUUCUUAACGUGCAUACACGAUGUGACUCACUGGAGCCCUGAUAAGAUUAUUGAUUUCUUGAGGAGAACAAUGUUGUCGGAAACCUUCUCCAACUGUUGCUCACGGGUAUACAGUCAGGGCUGUCUUCCCAGAAUAUAAUGCAAGGAAACCUUGACCCAGUUCUCCAUGUCAUUUUCCUUUACCAGAAGGCCCUUUCGAGGUAUGGCAACUAGAUUUUUUCAGCUACCACCAUCACAAAGAUACAGGCACAUCCUAGUGAUGGUUUGUGUAUUUUCUCAUGGGUAGAAGCAUUUCCAUGCAGAAGAGCAGCAGCCUUGGCGUGAGCUCCAAGAAGCAAAAACUCAAGGAACACAUACUUCAGCCAGGAGACUUUGUAGGAAACAGCAUCCUUUAAAGGACUUUCUCCACCAAGGAGGAAGGAACCUUAUCAGGGACUCCUAACCAACCCUUGUGCCACUAAGCUUAAAGGAGUUGAUUCCUGGAUACCUGCCACCCAUGCAAGGAAAGCUGCUUUGUCAAUUUGGACUUCAUCUCAAAUUGGUGAUCUAAAACUAAAACUCUCCAGAACCAACAAGGAUGAGAAGAAAACAACAUGUGAGGCGAUCAGCCUUCUCAAGACACCUGACCAGGCCUGUAUCUAGACAAACCCUUAAUAUAAUCAUCGUCAGUAGAUGAGGAAGGUCUUCCUUUACAAGUUCCCACCACACUUCCUUCUUUUUGUCCCUAGUUCUUCUGUUUUGUUGCUACCAUCACCAGCCAUUGCCCAUGAAACAAACAUCUUCUUGCAGUAGGCUUGGGCCUGUGCUAGUAAAUUACAGGACAACACUCGUUAGGUGUGUGGCCUUGCGCCCCUUUCUGGUGGUUCUGGCCUACCAUGGUGGCAGCUCCUCUUCAAGGACAAGAGUAGACAGAAUAUCAGAAAUGUGUCUGUGUUUCUCAGGACAGUCAUUGGUGCUUAGCACUAGUAUGAUGAAGGCAAGUGUGCAUCACUGGCCUAUGAAUGAUACUUUACAAAGCAAAAGCCAUAGGAAGAGCUUUCCAGUAAAAGUCCACAUACCUUAAUGCUGGUACUACACCAGCUGAGAGAUUAGACCACUCAAUAUCGGGAUGGCAUAACACAAACUUGGGAUGGUUUCACCUGACUUACCCUCUCUUUGGGUCAACUUAGUUCACGUGCCCCUUUACAUUGGGAACAAAAGAAUCAUAUCAAAGAUCCCUGGCCCAGGAGCACUGGAGAUACGGGAUGGAACCCAGAGAACAGUGCAUCUACACCAUUGUGUUACAGAGUCCUGGCUGGCAUGCCACUGAGUGGGCAUAGUGACCGGGUGUUUACUGGUUGGCUCCAGAUGGAACAUCUGGACUCUGUGAUAAUGACCUAUGGCCAUGGUUACCCCCAAGGUGGCCAGGACACCAUUCUCUGCAUUAUGCCUGGACAUAGGAUGGAAUAGUUCACAACCGACAUAGAUAGUAGAUAAAACUAGGUAGUCUGAAUAAUUCAAAGUAUGGACUUUGAUUCAUAAUGCUUCAAUACUGGUUCUUAAAUGUAACAAACAACACACUUUUAAUCUGUGCAUUGUGAGGUGCUGAGCGAGAGGGGCCGGCUGCCAGGUGCCGGGUGGUGGGUGGGUCAAAGGCCAAACGCAGGUUCCACCAGGCAGGUGUCACUCCCGGCAGGAGUAGAAACCAGAGGCCUCACUGAGAGUGCCAGCCCCCACCCUGGUGUUUCAUUUUCCCCCACGGCACUGGGUGAAGGUUAGGUGUGUCUGUGAAGACAGCAGUGAAGGGAUACUGUCUCACUGCCCAGAGAGCCCCUAACAAAAGGUUUCUGCCAUUCUAUGGCCCUGGAGUCAGGGGAAGAGAGAGAGGGAGGCAGCUGAGAGUGGAAAAGUGCUGAAUGCAAAGUCAGAGUGGGAAAAAUGUCUUCCAGGCCCCCUGAAAAGGAGGCUUUGGCAGAGGUACCUAAGACAGGCCUCAGCCAAGGGACCCAUGUGGUCUCGGAAGGGAGGUGCCUGGGUUGGGCACAGGGGAUACCCAGGGCACCCAGGUCCUUCCCCGCAACAGCCUUCAGACACGGCAGUGCACUGGCCACACACCAUGAGGCAGCCAGGUGGGGCCUUUGUCAUCACCCGUGGUCAGACCUGAAAGAUCCCACAGGGCAUUUGGGCUGCAGCCAGCCAACUUUCCAGGCAGCAUGUUGCAUUCCAACUCUGUUUCAAUAAAACUAGUUUCGAAAAAGAAAGAAACAUUUCAAAAUAUUGACGGGAUGCUGCUAAGUUUUGAUCGUUGCAUUAGAAAGAAAGAGAUUAAAGGAAUAGUUUAAGCUUCCGCACCAGGAAUCUAGAAAAGGAAAACCAAAUCAAGCUCAAACUAAGUAGAAGGAAGGGGAGUGAGAUCAGAAUGGAUGCUGGGCGCGGUAGCUCACACCUGUAAUCCCAGCACUUUGGGAGGCCAAAGUGGGUGGAUCACCUGAGGUCAGGAGUUUGUAACAAGGCUGGCCAACAUGGUAAAACCCCAUCUCUACAAAAAUACAAAAAUUAGCUGGGCGUAGUUGUACGCACCUGUAAUCCCAGCUGCUCAGGUGGCUGAGGCAAGAGAAUCACUUGAACCCAGGAAGCAGAGGUUGCAGUGAGCCACGAUGACACCACUGCUCUCCAGCCUGGGGGACAGAGAGAGAGACUUUAUCUAAAUUCCAAAACUUUGGGAGGCCAAGGGCAGAUCACCUGAGGUCAGGAGUUUGAGACCAGCCUAUCCAACAUGGUGAAACUCCAUCUCUACUAAAAACACAAAAAUUAGCCAGGCAUGCUGCCGCGUGCCUGCAAUCCCAGCUACUCGGGAAGCUGAGACAGAAGAAUCCUUUGAAACUAGUAGGCGGAGAUUGCAGUGAGCUGACACCAUGCCACUGCACUCCAGCCUGGGUGACAGAGCAAGACUCCAUCUCAAAAAAAAGAAAAAAAAAGAUCCGAAUGGCAAACAGUGACCUAGAAAACAGUAAGACAAAUACGGAAAACAGAAGAAACUAAAAGAAGUUGAUUCUAGGAAAACAAACUGAUCAGAUUUGCUAGACUGGACAAGCCAAAAGGAAAAGAAAAAAACAGAAAUAUGCCAAAUCAGGAAUAAAAGAAAUAACAUACAAGGGUCCAUGGUGAAACUAAAAAUAUCACAAAGAAAUUUUAAAAUGUUUAAAAAAAUAGAUAAUUUAGAUAAAAUGGACAAAUUCCUAAAGAGACAUAAAUUAUGAGCACUGACCAACAAUGAAUAGAAAAUUUGAACAGAUGUAUAAGUAACCAAGUUGAAUUAUAGUUAACUACAUGCCCACAAAGAAAAGAUCUGAGCCAAAUGGCUUCAUUGGUGAAUUUUCUCAAAUGCUUAAGAAACAAAUGAUAUCAAUCUUACAGGAAAUAGAGACAAAAUAACACUUCCCAAAUAUUUUACAAGGCCAGUAUUAACCUGAUACCAAAGCCAGGCAAACACAUCAUAAGAAAACUAUAAAAUGAGAAAGGUACAACUUUUUAACAAAGUGAUUGCAGAUUAAAUCCAGCAACAUGACCAAGUGGGGUUUAUCUGAGGAAUGCAAGGUUGGGCUAACAUCUGAAAGCCAAUUAAUGUCAUAACUCCUCAAUAGAAUAAAAGAAAAAAUCCAUAUGACCUUCUAAUAGCCACAGAAAAAGCAUUUGACAAAACCAACCCUUUCAUAAUAAAAACUCCCAACCUAAGACUACAAAGAAACUUUCACAACCUGAUAAAGGUCAUCUAUAAAAUAAACCUGCAGCUAUCUAAGUUUCAGAGAAUCAUCUUUUUGUCUUAUUUGUUUCCUCUGUUAUGUCUCUGCUUUUAUUUCAUUAAUCUCUUCAUUAUCUCCUUCAUUCUGUUUGCUUUGGGUUUAUUUGCUCUUCUAUUUCUAGAUUCUUGAGGUGAACACUUAGGUUAUUGUUUGAGACUUUUCCUCUUUUCUAAUGUAAACAUUUAGUGCUAUAAAUUUCUGUCUAAGCACUGCUUUGCUGAGCUUUUGAAUUUUGAUAUGUUGUAUUUUCAUGUUUAUUCUGUUGAGUGUACUUUUACGUAUUUCUCUUGAUCCUUAUUCUUUGACCCAUGGAUAAUGAAAAGUGUGUUAUUUCUUUUUCAUGUGUUUGGAGAUUUUCCUGUUAUUUUGUUGUUGAUUUCUAGUGGGGGUAAGAGAAGACAGACUAAGAUUUUAAUUCUUUUAAAUAUGUUGAGGUUUGUUUGAUAGUCAGAAGUGGUAUAUCUUUUUAUAUGUUUUGUGGGCACCUGAAAAGAAUAUAUAUUCUGCUGUUGUUGAUCGCCAUGUUCUCCAAAUACCCAUUAGAUCCAGUUGAUUGUUCAUAAGUUGUUCUCUGUCCUUGUGAAUUUUCUGUUUAGUUGUUCUAUCAAUUGGCGGGAAAGGAGAGUAGGGUCUCUAACAAUAAUUGUGGAUUGCUGUUUCUCUUUUGAGCUCUAUCAAUUAAUACAUUUUUUU
rnacentral:lncRNA from 10 species